GACCGCGCCCUCCGCUCGCCACUGCGAGGCCACCUGCUGCGCCGCCCGCCGCUUCCGGCUCCCAGGCCGCCCGGAGGCUGCGCCCACCGCUGCCCGCACUCCUCACCUGGCGGCGGCCCUCUCCGCCGGACGCGCUGCCGCCGCCGCCUCUCGCCGCCGCUGAGAGUGAGGACAGCCUAGGCCUACCCAUCUGUGGAUGGUAAUGCCCACAGUGGACUGGGCUCUACUGUAUCAAUUUGCAAUCAAGAAAAUGUCGCAUGGAUAUGCCUACAGGCCAGUCUGAUGGAGACAGUUCUUCAACUGAAGUUCCUUUUUCCAAGAACAGUUUUUUGAUGAAACAGAACACUGGCCUUCCCUCUUCAUUUUGGAGGACUGUUUCAUGCUUGUCUUUCAGGUGUUCUCAUCCCACUUUGAUAUCCUAUAUGGCAGGCUCUCUCCUAUGCUGCUUAACUUCCAAACUGAUAUUCUAGCUGAAUAUGACCAACACAUGUUCUUGGAGUCUUUGAAGGUCCUCCAAAGAUUCCAGAAGUAACUCCAGCCUGCCAUCUGCUAGGUUUAUCAAUCUGCAACUCCCUUUAAUCCUCAUUACUUUGAACCAGGUGACAAUGUUUGGAUUAAUAGACAUACACACAAGACUCUGGAACUCUGCUGGAAAGAACCUCAUACGAUGAUCCUGACCAUGUAAAUGGCUGUAUAGGUGGAUGGGAUCUGGACGUGGAUACACUACUCCCAUGUUAAGCCUGACAGAAGAGAGACAACACAGCAGUGGAGAUCUGGCAGGGAGAGACUUCCAGAUGUUCCACCAAGAGCAAUGGAAGCAUACCCACAUCUUGUUGAUCCAAUAGGGCUGCAACUUUGGCACUCCUGAUCAUGCAUGCCUGCUGCACCCUUCACCAACCCUUCAGUCUAACCUGGAUGCUUAUAGAUGUUGGAAGAGGUGAAAUACUUCACCAAGUCUCCAAACAAGUGCUAGAAAGGAUCUUGAGCUAUGGUUGGAUGAUUUCUCUGGGUUUGAGGUCUUGGAAUUGUACCAUUGGACCAAAAAUGGCCAAUUCUAUGUUUGCCCAGGCCACUGCUGCAUCAAGGCUCAGAGAGAUAAGUGUGGAGGGUCCUCUGAUUACUUUUGGGUUGUUUGGGGAUACGAAUUCAUCUGCUAUAUAUGGUGACUUGUGGUGCAUGCAUUAUUAAUACUUUAGUCAGGUUUGUUAAGGAACGGAUUUCCACUGAUGAUUGAGAAUCCAACUGGUGAUUCACAAGCAGCAAUACCAGCCCAUCUUAAGGUUUCAGGUUAGGCCAUUAUUCAAGGAGGGAAUGAGCGCCAAGCUGACUCCAUGAGAGGCUGCAAGAUGCCAGUUCAGGAGACUAGGCCUAAGUUUCUGUUUCCCAGAACUGAGCAGACCAGUUCUUGGAAAAACCACAGCCCAUGAACAGCCAAUCAGAAGCUGCCCUGCCAAGGUUAGUCAGCAAGGGUUCUUGUAAAGUCCCCAGGCCCCCAGUGAUGAGUUUGGAAAGCCCACAGAACUCUAGCCAAUCCCAGAGUUACCCAUACCCCUAGAGUUAGAGCCAACCAUUUGGGUCACCUACCUCUUCUUGGAAUUCCCCCUAAUAACCUUUAAAUUGAGCCUACAGAGCUCACCUUGAGGUUACCAUUUUUAUGAAUUGUAGACCCUUGCAUGCUGGAUUUCUGCAGAAUAAAUGCUCUUUCCUUUUGUAUACC